rnacentral:lncRNA from 1 species
AUAGAUUGGGCCUCGGCCCGUUAUGACCAAGUAGACUCGUGGGCCACAACUACCCUUUGUUUCUCUGAGAAGAAGGUUCCAAAUUAAGUUCGAAGAGCGGCGCGUGCAUCUCCAAUACUACCGAAGAAGAGUGGUUUUGUGCAUCCAGGUCUUAUAAUAUUCAUAACAAAUCACAGGACUAAGUAGAGAAACCGUAAAUGCAGGAUGACGCAGUGGGAGUGUCACACUUGUCGGAGACCAGAUGCACGUAAACCCACUGCCUUAAUUUCUCCGAUGUAAUUCCCGUGUUCCCCACACCCAAUGUACCAACCAGACUACCAUAGCAUUCAUAAAUAUGCAUUGUUUUCAACGCGCCGCCAUAACGCGCUUCUUGGUGUUUUAAAUGAGAAGGUGGACCAUGACGUGCAUGUCAGUUCAAAUACACUACUACUACUACCUAGCUAGCUAGCACUUAGCAGUUAGCAGGGGUACGGAAAUGCGUGCUCGUAUACGACGGAGAAAAGUUGGAGGAACAAGUGUUUGGAGCGUGUGUAGGCGCGUGCAGCAGCUUUCUUUUUGGAUUAUUGCAUUUUUCCUUGCUGCCUGCUCCCCUCUCUGACCACAUUACUGUAAUGUACUGUGCCCACACACCACCACAUCUCUCUCUUACCCCUUUCAUCUUUCCUGCAAUUUACAGUCCCUCUGUUGCUUUUACCUACCGGUAAAAAAAAGAAAGAAAGCCAUGUCAGAGGCUGAAAAUUGUUACCGGCUAUCGCCGGUGGAGAGAAGGAGAGAUUAGAGAUGAAUUUUGUUAAUUAAUACAAUUAACAAUAGUGUAGAUUAUCCAAAAAAUAAUUUAAAAAUUAAAUUGAAUUUGCUCCACAAUUUUAAUCUUAGAAUUUCACUAAUUAAAUAAGAUCAAACCGGCUCGGUUACGU